AUGGAAGGAGAGGCGGAGAUGGAAGCGGAGGCGAGGGGAAAGAGUGUCAGAGAGGGCAUCGAGCAUGCCACGGGAACCCAGGGAGAUCGGGUUCCUGAGAUGGAAGGGAAGGUGAAGCGGAAGAGCGCCGAAUCCAGGAAGGGCAUCGAACAUGCUGCGAGGAGGAAGCACGUGAAGUCAUUAUCGGAGAUCAAGUCGGCGACGAAGAAGGUUGCGUCGCGGGAAAACCUCACAAGAAUAAAGCUGGAGACCAAAAACAAAUUGGAUGAAAUAGAGGAGGCCAGAUAG
rnacentral:rRNA from 1 species